AUCAUCUUCAUUCUCUUCCUUCUAAUCGGAGCUAAGCUACUGUUACCAUCUCUUCAGAUUCUUCCAUUCAACGUCUCGCUCCCACAACCAUUAGUCAUAAAUCAUCAGCUUAACUUCAACAGUCCUCCGUCAUCCAAAUGUUAGAAAAAAAAAAAAACAGUCCCACGUCAUGAACUCGAUUCCCUAUAUAUAUUAUCUCUUUCCUUUCUUCACCUUCACCAAACUCAAGAAAACCAAAUAAUCACAACAUCAGUGGUGAUCUCUCCAGAACCACGCCCUAUUGGUUUCUGUAACCAUGCCGUCCAGGAACAGCUCCACCAUCCCUCUAUGUGUCUCUGCCAUGUUACCUAGCUCAAUCAUAAAGUGGGAUUACAGGAGGAUGAAGCUCACUUAUGAGAAGCUUAGGGGAAACAAGACGUCACUUCUUGAUCAUUACUACGCCAGCUGGAAAGGAGUCUGCUGGGGUUUCAUGGAAGAGAAAAUGUCUCAUAGAUAUGAUGAAAUGAUAAUUCCGAACAAGCAAGUUAUCUUUUUGUUACCUUCCAUUAUAUUCAUCUGCAGUGUUCCUUCAUCUGUGUAAGUGCGUAAUAGUUUUUAAGGAAAUGAUAGAAGACUCAAGUACAUUGGUAAAAAAAAACAGAGAAAGGUUCCUCAUAUUGACUUCUUUCUUGAGACUAGUUUCAAAUGUUUUGUCGAUCCCA